rnacentral:rRNA from 1 species
AACGAACGCUGGCGGCAUGCCUAACACAUGCAAGUCGAACGAUGCCUUCGGGCAUAGUGGCGCACGGGUGCGUAACGCGUGGGAAUCUGCCCUUGGGUUCGGAAUAACUCAGAGAAAUUUGAGCUAAUACCGGAUGAUGACGUAAGUCCAAAGAUUUAUCGCCCAAGGAUGAGCCCGCGUAAGAUUAGCUAGUUGGUGGGGUAAAGGCCUACCAAGGCGACGAUCUUUAGCUGGUCUGAGAGGAUGAUCAGCCACACUGGGACUGAGACACGGCCCAGACUCCUACGGGAGGCAGCAGUGGGGAAUAUUGGACAAUGGGCGCAAGCCUGAUCCAGCCAUGCCGCGUGAGUGAAGAAGCCCUUUGGGGGUGUAAAGCUCUGUCAACGGGAACGAAAAAAAUGACGGUACCCGUGGAGGAAGCAUCGGCUAACUACGUGCCAGCAGCCGCGGU